rnacentral:rRNA from 1 species
GAUGAACGCUAGCGGCAGGCCUAAUACAUGCAAGUCGGACGGGAUUCAGGAGCUUGCUUCUGAUGAGAGUGGCGCACGGGUGCGUAACACGUAUGUAACCUACCUUUAUCAGGGGGAUAGCCUCUCGAAAGAGAGAUUAAGCCCGCAUAAAAUCACAGCACAGCAUUGUGUAAUGAUCAAAUAUUUAUAGGAUCAAGAUGGGCAUGCGGAACAUUAGCUAGAUGGCGGGGUAACGGCCCACCAUGGCGACGAUGUUUAGGGGAUCUGAGAGGAUGGCCCCCCACACUGGUACUGAGACACGGACCAGACUCCUACGGGAGGCAGCAGUAAGGAAUAUUGGUCAAUGGGCGGAAGCCUGAACCAGCCAUGCCGCGUGCAGGAAGACGGCCCUACGGGUUGUAAACUGCUUUUAUACGGGAAUAAACCCAGAUACGUGUAUCUGGCUGAAUGUACUGUAAGAAUAAGGAUCGGCUAACUCCGUG